GGAUAGGGGCAGCCCUAAUACUGCAGUCGAGCGAACUGAUUAGAAGCUUGCUUCUAUGACGUUAGCGGCGGACGGGUGAGUAACACGUGGGCAACCUGCCUGUAAGACUGGGAUAACUUCGGGAAACCGAAGCUAAUACCGGAUAGGAUCUUCUCCUUCAUGGGAGAUGAUUGAAAGAUGGUUUCGGCUAUCACUUACAGAUGGGCCCGCGGUGCAUUAGCUAGUUGGUGAGGUAACGGCUCACCAAGGCAACGAUGCAUAGCCGACCUGAGAGGGUGAUCGGCCACACUGGGACUGAGACACGGCCCAGACUCCUACGGGAGGCAGCAGUAGGGAAUCUUCCGCAAUGGACGAAAGUCUGACGGAGCAACGCCGCGUGAGUGAUGAAGGCUUUCGGGUCGUAAAACUCUGUUGUUAGGGAAGAACAAGUACGAGAGUAACUGCUCGUACCUUGACGGUACCUAACCAGAAAGCCACGGCUAACUACGUGCCAGCAGCCGCGGUAAUACGUAGGUGGCAAGCGUUAUCCGGAAUUAUUGGGCGUAAAGCGCGCGCAGGCGGUUUCUUAAGUCUGAUGUGAAAGCCCACGGCUCAACCGUGGAGGGUCAUUGGAAACUGGGGAACUUGAGUGCAGAAGAGAAAAGCGGAAUUCCACGUGUAGCGGUGAAAUGCGUACAGAUGUGGAGGAACACCAGUGGCGAAGGCGGCUUUUUGGGUCUGUAACUGACGCUGAGGCGCGAAAGCGUGGGGGAGCAAACAGGGAUUAGAAUACCCCUGGUUAGUCCCACGACCGAUAAAACGGAUGGAGUGGCUAAAGGUGGUUUAGAAGGGGGU
rnacentral:rRNA from 1 species